GACUAAACUGUCUCUUACGGACAUUCAAUGAAACUGAUCUUUCAGUCCAAAAGCUGAAAUAUAAACACCAGACGAGAAGACCCUGUGGAGCUUCCAAACCAAUACCAACGCCUAUGGUUAUACGGUUUUUAGUUGGGGCGACUUCGGAGAACAAAAAAACCUCCAACUAGGAAACUUUCCUGAUUAAGAUCUACACAUCUAAAUAUUUAACUUGACCCAGUAGGUAUUACCCCCAUCUGAUCAAGGAACCAAGUUACCCCAGGGAUAACAGCGCUAUCCUCUUCUAGAGUCCCUAUCGACAAGAGGGCUUACGACCUCGAUGU
rnacentral:rRNA from 1 species